GGGUCGGCCUGGGUGCCCCCUGGGGUGGCACCUUCAUGGUGCCCAAUAUUGGGCCCCGCCGACCCCCCACCCCCUCAGUUCCUUCUUGCCGACCAUUCCGACAGAGGGGUUGGAGGGUGGGUAUUGGAAUGGACAUGAACAACACAUCUCGAAGAACAGUAGUUAUGAGAAAGUGAGUAACCGUUUUUUCUUCUUCGAGUGAUUGUUCAUGUCCAUUCCAAGCAAGUGAUUCACAAGCUAGAGCUCAGGAGGUGGGAAGAGCGUCCUGUAGG